rnacentral:rRNA from 1 species
GAUCAUGGCUCAGAUUGAACGCUGGCGGCAGGCCUAACACAUGCAAGUCGAGCGGUAGCACAGAGAGCUUGUUCUCGGGUGACGAGCGGCGGACGGGUGAGUAAUGUCUGGGAAACUGCCUGAUGGAGGGGGAUAACUACUGGAAACGGUAGCUAAUACCGCAUAAUGUCGCAAGACCAAAGUGGGGGACCUUCGGGCCUCAUGCCAUCAGAUGUGCCCAGAUGGGA